UAACAUUACUUGUGUAACUCUUCUUAUUAUGUUGUUGGUCACCUAGCACAACAAAAGAUGAAAAACUCCUCACAAUGUGAUUGACUGCAGCCAAGUGGUCC